AGCAGCCGCGGUAAUUCCAGCUCCAAUAGCGUAUAUUAAAGUUGUUGCAGUUAAAAAGCUCGUAGUUGAAUUUCGGGAUCAGACUGUCGGUCGUGCCUCGGUACGCACUGGCAUUAUUGGUUCCUACCUUCUGAAGAACCGCGAUGUCAUUAAUUUGGUGUCGCGGGGAAUCAGGACUGUUACUUUGAAAAAAUUAGAGUGUUUAAAGCAGGCUUACGCUUGAAUACAUUAGCAUGGAAUAAUGAAAUAGGACGUUUGAUUCUAUUUUGUUGGUUUCUAGGAUCGACGUAAUGAUUAAUAGGGAUAGUUGGGGGCAUUAGUAUUCAAUUGUCAGAGGUGAAAUUCUUGGAUUUAUUGAAGACUAACUACUGCGAAAGCAUUUGCCAAGGAUGUUUUCAUUAAUCAAGAACGAAAGUUAGGGGAUCGAAGACGAUCAGAUACCGUCGUAGUCUUAACCAUAAACUAUGCCGACUAGGGAUCGGAUGAUGUUA
rnacentral:rRNA from 1 species